AUAACUAUUAACCUAGAUAAACCAGUAGUGGUAUCAUCGGCGGAUCUCGUCCAGGUUAUAUAACCAAAAUAUACUACCGAAUAAAAACAACACGAAGGACAACAACCUAGUCACAUCAUGGUCCAUUUAGCGCUGACAUCACUAGCAGUUGUACUGUGUGCGACGCUUGCCUUUGCUGACUAUGGCUACUCAGGAUACGGAAACCAUGGAUACGGGAAACAAUCCUAUUCGGGAUAUUCGGUGGAAUCCGUGAACAGCCAAAGUUUUUAUUCUCCAUAUUCCGCCCCGUAUCCAAUCGAUCUUGGGUACACGAACUGUGGUUUAUUGGAUGUGAACUGCGGGAACGGCAGGAAUGUUGUCAUAAUAUUGUUGGUGCCUCUCCUCCUUCUGUUGUCUCAAUUCAAUAGCGGGUAGACUGAGGAUGGUCUGGAUUAUUGAUGUCCGUACAGCUCCGACCCCGAGUACUUCUACUACAUUUACUACGGUAUAGCAUUUGAUGAACUGUGAUGUUGAAACUUUAAAGAUAAAUACCGACAUUACAAUAAAAUUAUCAUUUGACUUAUGGCAUUAUUUGCGACAUAAAUUGUAUUGUGUUUAUCAAAAAGAAAUUGAGCUAGUUGCUUUUGUUUUGACACAAUUUACAUGAAUUUUGUGCAUAAAUGUACCAUGUUGCAGUCAUUUACGAUCACUUGCAGCACUAGCAUACUGUUGUAUAACGUAACACUACCAAAUGAAUCACACGAAUAAAGAUAUAUACAUAACCAUUCGGAAAUAAGGCCAUGCAUAGAGAUGAACUGUUAAUAUAUAUCAACCACAAAUGCAUAUUAACAUGAAUAUUCAACAAUGACGCAUGAGGUCAAUUGAGAUAUACAAUUUUAUAAUGAAUUAUUAAGCUUAACAUGCAAGCCCUGUAACAACAUUAUGUUAAUAUCUCAUUGUGAUAUCAUGUCUAAUAUUUUAAGUUUGAU